CCCCUAGACGUUCUGGGCUGCACGCGCGCUACAAUAAUACGCACAGCGAGUAUCACCGAGCUCGAAAGGGCAAGGUAAACAAUAGAAAAGGUACUGUAAUGGUUAUAGAUCCUUGUAAUUAUUGAUCUUCAACGAGGAAUUCCUAGUAAGUAUGUGUCAUCAUCACGCACUGAUUACGUCCCUGCCCUUUGUACACACCGCCCGUCGCUCCUACCGAUUGGGUGAGCCGAUGAAACUCUCGGAUGUAGGCUUUUCAUAGCCCGCAGAAGAGAUUUGAAUCGUAGCGCUUAGAGGAAGGAGAAGUCGUAACA
rnacentral:rRNA from 1 species